GUGGGGAAUAUUCCGCAAUGGGCGCAAGCCUGACGGAGCAACGCCGCGUGAAUGAAGACGGUCUUCGGAUUGUAAAGUUCUGUCAUUAGGGACGAAGGACUCAUGUAAAUAAUAUGAGGAAUGACGGUACCUAAGGAGGAAGCUCCGGCUAACUACGUGCCAGCAGCCGCGGUAAUACGUAGGGAGCAAGCGUUGUCCGGAAUUACUGGGCGUAAAGGGCGCGUAGGCGGAUAAUUAAGUCAGAUGUGAAAUCUCCAGGCUUAACUUGGAGCGUGCAUUUGAAACUGGUUAUCUUGAGGGCAGGAGAGGAAAGUGGAAUUCCUAGUGUAGCGGUGAAAUGCGUAGAUAUUAGGAGGAACACCAGUGGCGAAGGCGACUUUCUGGACUGAACCUGACGCUGAGGCGCGAAAGCAUGGGGAGCGAACGGGAUUAGAAACCCGAGUAGUCC
rnacentral:rRNA from 1 species